AUUAUUUCAUUAUAUUAUUAUAGCUAACAUAAUUAUUUAAUUUUAUUAAAUAAAGAGUAAUUUAUGCAUAUACUGAAUAUUAGUCAACCAUAGGUAUGUCUUACAUCAUCUGACAAAUUAUUUAAUGAUAACUCCAGGUGGUGGGUAUAUUGUCGAAUAAUAAAAAAAGUCAUGUGUAAUGUGUUCAAAAUUCUAAUUAAUCAUAUGUAUUUCUUAUUAUACUGUAUAUCAUAAGUUAAAAGAUAUUUGAAAAAAUCAUUGUUCAGCCUAACUACUAC